GCUUUACACAUNGCAAGUCGAACGGCAGCACGGACUUCGGUCUGGUGGCGAGUGGCGAACGGGUGAGUAAUAUAUCGGAACGUAUCCAAUAAUGGGGGAUAACUAAUCGAAAGGUUGGCUAAUACCGCAUACGCCCUACGGGGGAAAGCUAGGGAUCUUCGGACCUGGCGUUAAUGGAGCGGCCGAUAUCUGAUUAGCUAGUUGGUGAGGUAAGAGCUCACCAAGGCGACGAUCAGUAGCUGGUCUGAGAGGACGACCAGCCACACUGGAACUGAGACACGGUCCAGACUCCUACGGGAGGCAGCAGUGGGGAAUUUUGGACAAUGGGCGCAAGCCUGAUCCAGCCAUUCCGCGUGAGUGAAGAAGGCCUUCGGGUUGUAAAGCUCUUUCGCAAGGGAAGAAAACUUAGUUACUAAUAUUAACUGAGGUUGACGGUACCUUGAUAAGAAGCACCGGCUAACUACGUGCCAGCAGCCGCGGUAAUACGUAGGGUGCGAGCGUUAAUCGGAAUUACUGGGCGCAAAGCGUGCGCAGGCGGUUUUGUAAGUCAGAUGUGAAAUCCCCGAGCUCAACUUGGGAACUGCGUUUGAAACUACAAGACUAGAAUAUGUCAGAGGGGGGUAGAAUUCCACGUGUAGCAGUGAAAUGCGUAGAGAUGUGGAGGAAUACCAAUGGCGAAGGCAGCCCCCUGGGAUAAUAUUGACGCUCAUGCACGAAAGCGUGGGGAGCAAACAGGAUUAGAUACCCU
rnacentral:rRNA from 1 species